rnacentral:misc_RNA from 1 species
CAGCUGGUGAAAAUCCAGCAUGAGGAAAGGUUAGCCGUCCACCUCAUAACUGAACCCCACACCCUGUCUGGUAACAGACUGAUGUGAAGCUGGGGGGAAGGGAUACCAGGCCGCAAUAUAA